UUUAAAUUUUAGAAUUAAAAGGGAAAGUGGUUAGAAUCCACUACAGCCCCCGCUACUGUAAUAGCUGACAAAUCUCUAAAUUAAAGCCACUGAUUUGAAGUAAUGAAAAUUGGGAAGGUAGAGAGGCGGAUGAAGCUUAAGUCAGGAGACCUGCCUAUUAUUA
rnacentral:ncRNA from 1 species